GAAAUGCGAUAAGUAAUGUGAAUUGCAGAAUUCAGUGAAUCUUCGAAUCUUUGAACGCACCUUGCGCUCCUUGGUAUUCCUUGGAGCAUGCCUGUUUGAGUAUCAUGAAAUCUUCAAAGUAAAUCUUUUGUUAACUCAAUUGGUUUCUACUUUGGUUUUGGAGGUCUUUGCAGCUUCACACCUGCUCCUCUUUGUUCAUUAGCUGGAUCUCAGUGUUAUGCUUGGUUCCACUCGGCGUGAUAAGUUAUCUAUCGCUGAGGACACUGUAAAAGGUGGCCAAGGUAAAUGCAGAUGAACCGCUUCUAAUAGUCCAUUGACUUGGACAAUACUUUUAUGAUCUGAUCUCAAAUCAGGUAGGACUACCCGCUGAACUUAAGC
rnacentral:misc_RNA from 1 species